rnacentral:rRNA from 1 species
AUUGAACGCUAACGGCAUGCUUAACGCAUGCAAGUCGAACGGCAGCACAGCAGUAGCAAUACUGUGGGUGGCGAGUGGCGGACGGGUGAGUAAUCUAUAGGAAUCUGCCUUGUAGUGGGGGAUAAAUUGGGGAAACUCGGGCUAAUACCGCAUAAUCUUUACGAAGAAAAGAGGGGGAUAGAACGACCUUGCUAUAUAAGAUGAGCAUAUAUUGGAUUAGCUAGUUGGUGGGGUAAAGGCCUACCAAUGCGACGAUCCAUAGCUGGUCUGAGAGGAUGAUCAGCCACACUGGGACUGAGACACGGCCCAGACUCCUACGGGAGGCAGCAGUGGGGAAUAUUGGACAAUGGGGGAAACCCUGAUCCAGCAAUGCCGUGUGUGUGAAGAAGGCCUUCGGGUUGUAAAGCACUUUUAGUGGGAAAGAAAAGCUCAAAGCUAAUAACUUUGAGCCUUGACGUUACCCACAGAAAAAGCACUGGCUAACUCUGUGCCAGCCGCCGCGGUAA